rnacentral:rRNA from 1 species
GUGUCAGCCGCCGCGGUAAGACGUAGGGGGCCAGCGUUGUUCGGAAUUACUGGGUGUAAAGGGUUCGUAGGCGGUGCGGCAAGUUGGGAGUGAAAUCUCUGGGCUUAACCCAGAGGCUGCUUCCAAAACUGCUGUGCUUGAGUGUGGGAGAGGCGCGUGGAAUUGCAGGUGUAGCGGUGAAAUGCGUAGAUAUCUGCAGGAACACCCGUGGCGAAAGCGGCGCGCUGGACCACUACUGACGCUGAGGAACGAAAGCUAGGGGAGCAAACAGGAUUAGAUACCCGCGUAGUCC